rnacentral:rRNA from 1 species
AUUGAACGCUGGCGGCAUGCCUUACACAUGCAAGUCGAACGGUAACAGGUCUUCGGAUGCUGACGAGUGGCGAACGGGUGAGUAAUACAUCGGAACGUGCCCGAUCGUGGGGGAUAACGCAGCGAAAGCUGUGCUAAUACCGCAUACGAUCUACGGAUGAAAGCGGGGGAUCGCAAGACCUCGCGCGGACGGAGCGGCCGAUGGCAGAUUAGGUAGUUGGUGGGAUAAAAGCUUACCAAGCCGACGAUCUGUAGCUGGUCUGAGAGGACGACCAGCCACACUGGGACUGAGACACGGCCCAGACUCCUACGGGAGGCAGCAGUGGGGAAUUUUGGACAAUGGGCGCAAGCCUGAUCCAGCCAUGCCGCGUGCAGGAUGAAGGCCUUCGGUUGUAACUAGCUUUGUACGGUAACGAAACGGUUACGUCUCUAAUACAGGGGCGUAAUGACGGUACCGUAACGAAUAAG